rnacentral:ncRNA from 1 species
AUAAUCGGCUAGACUUUGUAAACUUAUACUCUAAUUAAUGUUAAUUUAGAGUUAUUUUACUUUUGAUUUUUAAUUUUAGGGUGAAAUCAGAAAUUAUUUUUAUUACAACUCUAAAUUUUAAGAUUUAGUAAACGAACCAGAUUAGUACCUGGUUAGAUAAAAUUUAAAAGAGCAGGAGUAAAGUUAUGUUUAAACUGUAAGAAUAUUGGCAGGUUUUUAAAUUAUCUUUGGAGGCUGAGUAGUAAUUGAGAACCCUCAUUUUCAACUUUUUCUUUAGGCGCAUGUAUGAUCGUUUAUUUUAUUCUUAAGGAUUGUAAUUUUAGUCUUUGCUGUAAAAAUAGAUAGAUAUCUGGCUUAUGUAAAAGAUUUAAUUUGGCCUACAAUAGUGUAUUCUUUGGAUCCGGGGGCUAGAAAACCUGGUGAAAUUGUAAAAGACAGUAAGUUACUUUUUAUAGGUAACUGAAGUUUAUUUAAAAACGGUACAAAUCAUCCAUCAAUUGCCUAUAGGGGAGUAAGUUGU